GUCCUCCCGUUGCCUUUGAGGAGCGUGUGCUGCAGCAGAAGGCAUGUGGAGCCCCUGCCAGCCAGGCGCUAGGGUUGGGCUUGCAGAUCUCGACAGCUCCAUUGCCGUGAGGAAUGAAGCUGUCAGGGGAAGACAUGAUUCUCUGGGCUUGGCCCACAGAACUGAGGACAGCCUUCUGCAAAGAAGUAGACGUGGCAGUCCAGAGACUGCAGAACUGUUAAACCCAUGUGGCUGCCACACAGGAUCUCAGUGGUGCUGGUGCCCAGGUGUGGCAGGCACUGCAUAAACACGGGGGGAGAGCCAGUCCCGGCCUGAGGCCUCACAGCCAAGGCAGAUACUGGCUCAGAGGACAGAAGAUCUGCCACCUCCUUCACGUUAAGACUUCUUGGCUCAUCUGAUGCUGCAGUAAGUGUCUAGCCAAGGCAGUGACUGAGCCUAAAACUCUUGGACAUCAUGCACCAUGCGGCCAUGUGUCCGAAGAGCCAGAUCCCAAUCACUCCACGGGCAACCUCUGUCCCAGCCCAGUGGGCAGAGAGGAUUGCUCCUUUCCCUCCCACACCCUGCCACACAGCUUGCUUACUGGCCCCUUUGUACUUGCUCCCCUUGGUUAGGGGACUGCCCUGAUCCAGCCAGCGGGACAAGCUCUGCAUGUACUGCUUUAAUUGGAGAUGGUGAGGAGCACAGCGGGAAUUGUUCCUGAGUACUGGAAACAAUACUUAUAAAAUCACUUCACAGCAGCCAGUAACGCUACUGGCUGGAAUACAAACAGCUUUGGAGACCAGUGGCUAGUCAAGAAACACUCUGAAAAGAAGUGCUUAUGCUUCUUCGUUUCCCCAUCCACCUGUACUUCUGAUCCUGCAGAAGGAAAUCUUUGGGGUAGGAAAUAAGCAAGGGGAGCAUUUAAGAGAAAAGGAAGAUAUCAGUGCUCUCCACAUGGAAAUAUGUGAGAGCCUUCCGCACCCAAAGCAGAGCAUAUGAAUUUACAUGACAACGUUGCAGUGGCUGAGAUCUCUGGGGGCUCAAUUUUCCAUAAUCAGAUCUAAAGACCUCUGCCUACUUUAAGUAGCAUCAUGGAUGAAGGUGAUUUAGCACCGCAUAUAACCACUUGGUUUCUGGUUUGCACGUGCAAUAUAAAUAUGCAAGCUAAGUACACAAACUCAGGUGGCCUCCAGGGCUGAAAAUUCUCAGGCUAUCCAUGCCCUCUCUUACAUUAGCAGCCUGGAAAUGAUGCUGCAUGUUCCCUGCUUUUCUGCAUUUUCCAGGCAAACUUGGACAAAAACAAAACAAAACAAAACAAAAACGUUUGGUGCCCUUGCAGCCCCAAGUGCUGAACUUGUCUUUUUGAAAUGCUAUGUCAACAGCUCUUCACUAGCAGGCCCAUUAUUUUUAUUGGCUUCAGCUCUCUGGCUAGUGUUGACAGGUUAAUUUACAGUAACAGUGAGAGUCACCUUUACUCACUAUACCAGAAAGCGCAGCCCGCUCUGCACUUGAAUGCCACGCUCUCAGGAGCAGGAAUGUGGAGAACGAGUAAGUGCUGCCUCACAGCCUCACUCAGGCACUCGGGGACUUGUACAAAAGAAUGCUCUUUUGGUGAAAUAAUUUUUGCCAGCAUAUACAACUGGAGCAGGAAUGGUUGCAAUUAUUUCUUACCGUGCUUGUUAGGGAGGACACAUGGGAAGAUUAGCCUCAAGAAUGUCACUCUUGGACAUGGUCUUCCCAUUGGG